rnacentral:rRNA from 1 species
AUUGAACGCUGGCGGCAUGCCUUACACAUGCAAGUCGAACGGUAACGGGCCUUCGGGUGCUGACGAGUGGCGAACGGGUGCGUAAUACAUCGGAACGUGCCCGAUCGUGGGGGAUAACGAGGCGAAAGCUUUGCUAAUACCGCAUACGAUCUACGGAUGAAAGCAGGGGACCGCAAGGCCUUGCGCGGACGGAGCGGCCGAUGGCAGAUUAGGUAGUUGGUGGGAUAAAAGCUUACCAAGCCGACGAUCUGUAGCUGGUCUGAGAGGAUGAUCAGCCACACUGGGACUGAGACACGGCCCAGACUCCUACGGGAGGCAGCAGUGGGGAAUUUUGGACAAUGGGCGCAAGCCUGAUCCAGCCAUGCCGCGUGCAGGAUGAAGGCCUUCGGGUUGUAAACUGCUUUUGUACGGAACGAAAAGCCUUCUUUUAAUACAGGAGGGUCAUGACGGUACCGUAAGAAUAAGCACCGGCUAACUACGUG